UGGGGAAUAUUGCACAAUGGGCGCAAGCCUGAUGCAGCCAUGCCGCGUGUGUGAAGAAGGCCUUCGGGUUGUAAAGCACUUUCAGCGAGGAGGAAGGUGGUGAGCUUAAUACGCUCAUCAAUUGACGUUACUCGCAGAAGAAGCACCGGCUAACUCCGUGCCAGCAGCCGCGGUAAUACGGAGGGUGCAAGCGUUAAUCGGAAUUACUGGGCGUAAAGCGCACGCAGGCGGUUUGUUAAGUCAGAUGUGAAAUCCCCGGGCUCAACCUGGGAACUGCAUUUGAAACUGGCAAGCUAGAGUCUCGUAGAGGGGGGUAGAAUUCCAGGUGUAGCGGUGAAAUGCGUAGAGAUCUGGAGGAAUACCGGUGGCGAAGGCGGCCCCCUGGACGAAGACUGACGCUCAGGUGCGAAAGCGUGGGGCAGCAAACAGGAUUAGAUACCCUGGUAGUCCACGCUGUAAACGAUGUCGAUUUUGGAGGUUGUGCCCCUUGAGGCGUGGNUUCCGGAGCUAACGCGUUAAAUCGACCGCCUGGGGAGU
rnacentral:rRNA from 1 species